UAGGGAAUCUUCCACAAUGGACGCAAGUCUGAUGGAGCAACGCCGCGUGAGUGAAGAAGGCUUUCGGGUCGUAAAACUCUGUUAUUGAAGAAGAACGUGUGUGACAGUAACUGGUCAUGCAGUGACGGUAUUCAAUCAGAAAGUCACGGCUAACUACGUGCCAGCAGCCGCGGUAAUACGUAGGUGGCAAGCGUUGUCCGGAUUUAUUGGGCGUAAAGCGAGUGCAGGCGGUCUUUUAAGUCUGAUGUGAAAGCCUUCGGCUUAACCGAAGAAGGGCAUCGGAAACUGGGAGACUUGAGUGCAGAAGAGGAGAGUGGAACUCCAUGUGUAGCGGUGAAAUGCGUAGAUAUAUGGAAGAACACCAGUGGCGAAGGCGGCUCUCUGGUCUGUAACUGACGCUGAGGCUGACGAAGCGUGGGUAGCAAACAGGAUUAGAUACCCUGGUAGUCC
rnacentral:rRNA from 1 species